ACAAACACAAUGUCCAUACCAAAAAUCUACACCAUGUGACGAUUAUCAUGUGCCCAAACAGUGAUGAGAAAAUAAACAGAUAACUCUUGUUACAACUCUUGCCGCACAUGACUAACAAAAAUAAUAAGGCUAGUUUUUUUUUGCGUGUAAAAUAAUAAGGCUAGUGAAUAUAUUAAGUAGACUCGAAUUGUGAAGCGUCUUCAUAACAUGUGAGGCCAUACAUUAAUUUGCAGGUGCAGCUCCUGUAACCUCUGAUCUGCAUUUGCAAAACCAAUCUUUCAUCCAUUAGAGACAAAAUACUGGCACAAAAAUAGAAGACCGUCAUAAGAUGCUAACGAUGCUUGCUAUUCGAAUGAAGCUGUAACAAGAUCUCAAACGGAAGAAAAUAACAUCACCGUCACCUUAUAACAUACUCCCUCCGUUCAGAAAUAACAUAUUACAGGAGAUUAGUAAGCUAUGAAGGCCAUCUCCAAUGGACGUACGCUAAUUUAGAUGCACUCGCAUUUACAAUGCUAAGCACGUUAGCAUAGGCAAACUGCUGGUGUGGCAGCCACAACGUUGGGAUGAAAAAAAAUCCUUAUAACUAAUUAAAUACAUUACUUAUAAUAACUAAUUAAAUACAUUACUUAUAUAGAACCCAAUGCAUAAAAUACACAAGAAACAGACAGGCGCCAGGCACAAAAUUGAACGCCAGGUUUAGGGUGGAAAUAAAUUCUACACUAGCAAAACUACCGGGAUUAUUUCCCCUAGCAACAACCUUAAGCAUCCCAUUGGAGAUGGCCGAAGUGAUCAGAAGAGACGUGAGCACAUUUGUCCAUUCACAGCCUAGGACGUUCAUACAAAGAUUUAAAUCGCCGGCGAAAUCUGCCCGCGAUUUGCAUGGCUCGGUAAAUCGCCGGAGAUCGCGGCGCUAUCGCGGGCGAUUGUGCCAUUCCUUCGUUAACCGUCGCAGCAAAAAUCUCAGCUGCGAUUCACCUUCGCCCGCGAUUUUAAUCUAUGCGUUCAUACAUCCCAAUCCCACAAAACAAGAAAAUUAUUCUGAUAAAGCUUAACAUAACCAAGAAACCAGGCUCAACAUAACCAACAAACUAACAAGGUAUUGCAAUGUAAACAACUUUACACUAUACAAUAGCAUAUCAAAGAUUAAUCUUCUCUUUUUUCUCAAAAAAAUAAAUAAAUAAUCAUAACCCAUGCCAACAGGACUGUUGUUGAAUUAUAGUUCAGACAAGAUUGGUAUAUACUAUAUCUGAGGUGACAAGCUUAACAUCGCUUGAAAAUUCUUUCUAGUGAGUUAUCAUAGUAUAGCCAUAAGCCAAGCAUGCUGAACUGGCCAGAUCUUGUCAUAAGUUAUCUUCACCAUCACAUCCCCUAAUAUACACAGUUGUCAUAAAUGUUAACUACAAUGAUCAAAACAGUGGAUGCGAUCAUUUAACCAAUGACCACUGCAUUGACAGGUGUUCAAAUUGACCAUGUCAUCUCUAUUUAUACGUACUAAAUAAAAGCACACGAAAUAGCAGUCAUCUCCAACAAGCGACCAAAGGAGGGUUAGGUGGAUUGUGUAAUUGGUUGACUGGAACAGCAAGGAAGUCUCCUGGAGAGGCAAACAAACACAUCGCUCGAAUAAUUCUGAAGAUACCAAGCCAGACAAUGACAUAGCUAGCAUAAAUCCGUUUAGAACAAGGAUACAGGAUACAUGCCCAGUAGUGACAGCUAGUUGCGAGAACUGUGUCAGUGCACUGCAAGAACAUGUUGGAGAAAAUAACUGUACACAUUGAUUUUGUACAGUUUCGUAACCAUGAUUUUCUUAGCAACAGAACUCAAAAGUGUUAUUCUGGUCCACAAUGAUGCCAUGCAUGCCGCCCGAGCAUUGGAGUGCUAGUAUAUUUUGAACUGCAAAAACGUCUUAUAUAUUGGGACAGAGGUAGUACUAUCUAGACACUUCCAAGUCCUGAGAAAUGCAAGUUUGGCCUAAAUUGGGUACAUUUGUUUUCCCUCUUUUUUGCAGAUUGGGUGUAUUUGUUCUAACAAAACACAGCCAGCAUAUGCUGCUAGAAUUAAGGAUACCAAUCAUUAUUCCGUUUUAACUAUAGAGGGUAUAUGCCCUGUAGUGACAGCUAGUUGCAAGAACCAUGCCAGUGCACUGUACUCCAGGAGAAGAGUACAUGUUGGAGAAAUAACUGUAGACAAUUAUCUUGAAAAAGUUUCAUCAGCAAGAUUGUCUUAGCAACAAAAACCACAAGCAUUAUUCUGACCCACUAUUCGUGCCAUGCAUGCUGUCCGGGAAUUGGAAUGGUCGUAUAUGGCACCUUUAAUGAUACUACCUAGACAUUUCCUUGAGAUAUGAAGUUUAGUUGAAAAUGGGUAACUUUAUUAUGGCAUAUUUAUACUGAAGGGCCAGUAUAUAAUUGAAGAAUUUCCACAGCUUUUCACAGUUGGUUUGGUUCCAUGAUACUAUAACUGAAUUGGCAGAUGCCAACACCUACAACUCUUAAGCUCAAACAACACAGGGUUGCUAAAAAAUAGAAUGCUAAAUAUUAUUAGAUAGCCUUCUGUCUUGUUAUCAAAUUGGCGAUGCCAAAUGAUACUUAUUUGUCUUUGGCAAGAGGCUGAAUUUCAAAGGCCCAUGCGUUAAUCAUGAUUCAAUGAUUUGGACUUACUGUUAAAAAUAUCUGCCAAUUAAUCCCUGCUCGGUUGGUCACCAAGAUUAACAGAUUUAUCAGCCGAAGAAUUGGCCGAUUCGCCUACUAAUCCCCUACUCUCCAGCUUACCAAGAAGUUACCAGUUAAUGAUUUCCUGAACAUUAUUUUUUUUCAGUAGUUUAUAUAUGGAGGGAUCAAUCAAUGACAAAAGGUGUGUAUGUUAGUGCAGCAAAAGCAAAUGAAAACAGGGACACUUCUAGUUCAACCAAUGCUACCAUAGAAGCAUAUUUUAACUACAAAAUAAAUUUGCAUCACAUGAUCACAACAUAGAUUUCAGACUGAUUAUACACAAUUGUGUCACAACAUGUGUCAAGCUAAAGACAUGCAGAAGAAAAAACAUCUGCAAUUUUGUGAUUUAGGCCAAGGGAAGAAAAAACAUCUGCAAUUUUGUGAUUUAGGCCAAGGAACUAUUUCUGGGCAGGGAUAUAGGAAGGUACUGAUACUCUGUACCACAGCAUUACUCUAAACAUUUCUCAUUUUAAGGAAAAAAAAUCAACCUAUCAUGAUGUUCAAAUGAACCACGCACAUCAUGUUGCUAUCAUGGGCACCUUACAAGCUGAUGAAUAGGCAGCAAAUAGCAGCAUUUGUUUUUUUAGCGUACACCUCUAGAAAAUAAAGUGCAAUAACAGGACCAAUCAAUUCAGGAAUAGAACAUAAAAUUCCCAUAACAAAAAACUAAACACUAGAACAUGACAUGAUCAACCAUGGAAAGGCAAUUUAAUCAAUGUUUAGAGGGAUGAAAUCAGUUAUCAGACCCUUGUUCAGAUAGUACUUCAGCCUCAACUGCAGUAGGUUUCUUCCACACUCUGUCAGUACUCCUCUCCAGCACUUCGCCGUUCUCGUUCUCCUCGCCUUGGACUGGGGAAACCCUCCUCCCAGAGGACCUAACCUCAGGUGGUGCUUCACCAGAUUCGCUUGGCAGAAGGCGAGGAGUACAAGACCGUGUUCUAGACGCAUUUAGGCCACUACGAGUUCCUGGUGGUUUCUUUCGGGUUAGCGGGUGGACCGACCAUGUUCAACGGAGCUCUGACGACCACCCUCAAACUAGUCGACCGCAAGUGCGUGCUCCUCUUCUUUGAUGACAUCCUCGUGUUCAGCAAGACUCUACGAGACCACAUCAAUCACCUGCGACAAGUGCUGCAACUUUUGCACCGAGACCAAUGGCACGUGAAGAUGUCCAAGUGCGAGUUCGGCCAGCACAGCCUAUCAUACCUGGGACACGUCAUCAGCGAUCAAGGGGUAUCCACGGAACCAACCAAGAUACAAGCAGUAUCCAACUGGACGACUCCAACUGAUGUCAAAGCAGUCCGCAACUUCUUGGGGCUCGCUGGGUACUAUCGAAGAUUCGUCAGGAAUUUUGGGAUCAUAGCUCGUCCACUGUUCAACCUUCUGAAAUAAAAGGGACGUCGUUCGUCUGGACACCGGCCACAGAUACAUCAUUCCAGCUACUCAAACAACAUCUGAUCGAAGCCCCAGUUCUGGCGCUGCCCAACUUCGCCAAGCCAUUCGUGAUCGAGACUGACGCAUGUGACAAAGGGAUCGGAGCGAUACUGCAGCAGGAUGGUCAUCCAAUUUCUUACAUGAGCAAAGCCCUGAGCCCUCGAUACCAAGGACUCUCGACCUAUGAGAAGGAAUACUUGGCAGUUAUUGUGGCCGUAGACCAGUGGCGUCCCUACCUCCAACAUGCUGAAUUCACCAUACUUACUGAUCAGCGCAGCUUGACGCACCUGACGGAGCAGCGGCUUUCGACACCAUGGCAGCAACGGGCUUUCACUAAACUGCUGGGGCUCCGAUACAUCAUCAAGUACAAAAAGGGAUCCGAGAACACGGCAGCGGAUGCCUUGUCCAGAGCAAAAACAGCUGAAGUACUGCACACCAUCAGUGUGUGCCAACCAGCAUGGCUCGAAGAUAUUAUCAACAGCUACAACACCAACCCUCAGGUGCAAAAACUCCUGGAGCAGCUGGCUGUUCGAGAGGAUCCAAAAGGACGAUUCCAACUANNNNNNNNNNNNNNNNNNNNNNNNNNNNNNNNNNNNNNNNNNNNNNNNNNNNNNNNNNNNNNNNNNNNNNNNNNNNNNNNNNNNNNNNNNNNNNNNNNNNGCACUCUUUGAGUCCUGUACGGGAGAAGGGUGAUAAGGUUUUUGGGGAGCGCUCUGCGCGACUACUGGCUGCUUCAUCACGGACGAUCCGGUCGCCGACGACUACUUCCCUGACGUCCACGACCUCCUCGACGACAUGGCAGGCGAGGACACCGACCCCAAGUCCAGCGCUCCUGCUGCUGCUGUGCCGUACGUGUUCUUCUCCUUUCUGUUAGAAGUCCUACUACAGUUCUUGGCUCUAGUUUCUGUCCUACGUAUGUUAGGUUCUAUGUCGUAUAAGCAACUUCAUCUAGUGACUGUUCUAGAUGUGUUCACCUCAAGUUCAUAUAUGCAGACGAUGUUUACCUUCUCUCUGUCAGAUUGCAUGACUUGCUUUAUACUUGCUAUUCUAGCCAUGUUUUAUCUACUAUUUCUGUUAAUAAAAUCAUUCGGUAAAUUGCUCAUAUAUCCAACAAUCCAAAAACCUUAUUAUAGGCAAUUUACCCCGAGUGGUUUUGCUGCUUCCAUGAAACCUUCUAUGUUUGAGGGUAUCCACUAUAAGAGGUGGCGCGUGAGAGCAGUCUUAUGGUUUCAGACCAUGAGCUGCUAUGACGCCACUCUUGGCAAACCUGAAGGAGAGCAAGAUGCCCAACAGGCACAAGCUUUUCAGAAAAUGGAUACCUUGUUUAAGGCUGCUCUCUUGAGUGUUCUUGGUGAGAACAUAGUUGAUGCUUAUGCGUCAAUUGACAAUGGAAAUGAUAUGUGGGACGCACUCGAGGCCAAGUUUGGGGUCUCGGAUGCCGGCACUGAGCUGUACAUCAUGGAGCAAUUCUAUGAUUACAGGAUGACUGAAGAGCGCUCCGUGGUUGAGCAGGCUCACGAGAUACAGUCAUUUGCUAGAGAACUUGAGCACUUCAACUGCAUGCUACCGGACAAGUUUGUUGCCGGGGGUAUCAUCACUAAGCUUCCUCCUUCAUGGAGGAACUUUGCUACCUUACUGAAACAUAAGAGACAGGAGUUUUCCGUUCCGGAUCUCAUUGGUACUCUUGAUGUGGAAGAAAAGGCGAGAGCAAAGGACACACGUGCUCGAGGUAUUGAGGGAGGAUCUAGUGCCAGUCUGGUACAGAAGAAAAACUUCCAGUCCCACAAGUUCAAGAACAAGGGCAAGUUUGAUGGUAAAUGAAAGUUUGAUGGGAAGAACAAGGCUGUGCGGCACACGAACUUCAAGAAGAAGAAUGACAAGAAGAAAGGUGCUUGUCAUGUGUGUGGAUAUCCUGAUCAUCGGGCUCCUAGUUGCCCCGAUCGCUACGACAAGCGUCAUCCUGGGAAAGGCGGCAAGACCGCUAAUGUUGUCAUCGGGGACACUGACAUGAAGGAUGCUGGGUAUGGUAUAUUUCCCACUAUUCUUUCAGUAUGUCAUUCUCCUGAUUGGUUGAUUGACACGGGUGCUAAUGUGCAUGUAUGCGGUGAUAUUUCCAUGUUUUCGUCUUAUCAGACCGCAGGGACUUCAACCGUGCUGAUGGGCAAUGGUUCAAGUGCUUCUGUUCGUGGUGUUGGCACGGUCGAUCUGAAGUUUACUUCGGGGAAGAUCGUGCGGCUGAAGAACGUGCAUUAUGUCCCCUCCGUCAAUAAAAAUCUUGUUAGCGGAUCUCUUCUGUGUAGAGAUGACUAUAAGUUUGUCUUCGAGUCAAUUAAAUCUGUAAUAUCCAAGUAUGGAACCUUUGUUGGUAAAGGCUAUGAGUCAGGAGGCCUGUUUCGUUUAUCCUUAUCAGACGUUUGCAAUAAAGUUGUUAAUCAUAUUUGCAACAAUAGUGAAUCAAAUGUGUGGCAUUCACGACUUUGUCAUGUUAACUUUGGUUGCAUGUCGCGACUAGCGAAGUUGAACUUAAUCCCUAGUUUCACCACCGUUAAGGGAUCUAAGUGUCAAGUGUGUGUGCAAGCUAAGCAACCUCGUAAGUCUCAUGUGACUGCGGAGACGAGAAAUCUUGCACCACUAGAACUUAUACAUUCAGAUCUAUGUGAAAUGAAUGGUGUUUUGACAAAAGGUGGAAAGAAAUAUUUCAUGACGUUAAUUGACGACUCCACUAGAUACUGUUGUGUGUAUCUUCUGAAAUCUAAGGAUGAGGCUUUGAACUUUUUCAAGAUCUAUAAAGCUGAGUGGAAAACCAACUUGAUCGGAAAAUCAAGAGGCUUAGGUCCGACCGUGGUGGAGAGUAUUUUUCCAACGAAUUUGAUGCUUUUUGUGUGGAACAUGGUAUAAUCCAUGAGAGGACGCCUCCCUACUCACCUCAGUCAAAUGGGGUGGCUGAAAGAAAGAACCGUACUCUAACUGAUUUGGUUAACGCCAUGUUAGACACAUCGGGUCUCUCCAAGGCAUGGUGGGGGGAGGCGAUAUUGACAGCAUGUCAUGUCCUAAAUCGAGUUCCCACAAAGAACAAAGAGAUAACUCCAUUCGAGGAAUGGGAGAAGAAAAGGUUAAAACUCUCUUAUCUGCGAACAUGGGGUUGUUUGGCGAAAGUCAAUGUUCCAAUUCCAAAGAAGCGGAAACUUGGACCAAAGACUGUGGAUUGUGUUUUCUUGGGAUAUGCUUUUCAUAGCAUUGGCUAUAGAUUCUUGGUUGUAAAAUCUGAGGUACCUGACAUGCAUGUCGGUACGAUCAUGGAGUCGAAUGAUACGACUUUCUUUGAAGAUAUCUUUCCCAUGAAGGGUAUGGCUACCUCAUCUAAUCAGGAGAUGCCUAGUUCAUCGAGUCAGGAACCAGUUACAAUUACCGAACCUGCCAUUUCGAUGGAACACUUUGAAAAUCCCGUGGAGGAGAACAAUGAAGUUCCUAUUAGGAGCAAGAGACAGAGGACUGCAAAGUCCUUUGGUGAUGAUUUUCUUGUGUAUCUCAUAGAUGACACUCCCAGUUCUAUUUCAGAGGCUUAUGCAUCUGAAGAUGCUGACUACUGGAAGGAAGCAGUUCGUAGCGAGAUGGAUUCCAUCUUGGCGAAUGAAACUUGGGAGAUAACUGAUCGUCCUUAUGGGUGCAAACCUAUAGGAUGCAAAUGGGUAUUCAAGAAGAAGCUUAGGCCUGAUGGUACGAUUGAAAAGUACAAGGCUCGGCUCGUGGCUAAGGGUUAUACCCAAAAGGAAGGUGAAUAUUUCUUUGAUACUUACUCACCUGUGGCUCGACUGACCACUAUUCGAGUUCUACUUUCACUAGCUGCCUCACAUGGUCUUCUCGUUCAUCAAAUGGAUGUUAAGACUGCUUUCCUGAAUGGAGAGUUGGAUGAGGAAAUUUAUAUGGAACAACCAGAUGGGUUUGUAAUAGAUGGUCAGGAAGGGAAAGUGUGCAAAUUGCUGAAGUCUUUGUACGGACUCAAGCAAGCACCCAAACAGUGGCAUGAGAAGUUCGAAAGAACUUUAACAGCUGCAGGCUUUGUUGUGAACGAAGCUGACAAAUGUGUGUACUAUCGCCAUGGUGGGGGCGAGGGGGUUAUGCUUUGCUUGUAUGUUGAUGACAUACUGAUUUUUGGAACAAAUCUGAAUGUUAUUAAGGAGGUCAAAGAUUUUCUAUCUCGCUGUUUUGAGGUGAAAGAUUUAGGAGUGGCUGAUGUCAUUCUGAACAUCAAGUUGUUGAGAGAUGAUGAUGGUGGGAUUACAUUGCUUCAAUCUCACUAUGUGGAAAAGAUCUUCAGUCGCUUUGGCUAUACUGACUGCAAGCCCUCUCCAACACCAUAUGAUGCUAGCGUGCUGCUUCGAAAGAAUCGAAGAAUUGCUAGAGAUCAAUUGAAGUAUUCUCAGAUUAUUGGCUCGCUUAUGUACUUAGCGAGUGCUACAAGACCUGACAUCUCUUUUGCUGUUAGCAAGCUGAGCCGGUUUGUCUCAAAACCGGGAGAUGUGCACUGGAAAGCUCUAGAGAGAGUUUUGCGUUAUUUGAAAGGCACUGUAAACUAUGGAAUUCACUACACUGGGCACCCAAAGGUGCUUGAAGGGUAUAGUGACUCAAACUGGAUCUCAGAUGCUGAUGAGAUAAAGGCCACGAGCGGAUAUGUGUUCACUCAUGGAGGUGGCGCUGUUUCUUGGAAGUCUUGCAAGCAGACCAUCUUAACGAGGUCAACUAUGGAAGCAGAACUCACAGCACUAGAUACAGCUACGGUCGAAGCAGAUUGGCUUCGCCGACUCUUGAAUGACUUGCCGGUUGUAGAGAAACCUGUACCGGGUAUCCUUAUGAACUGUGACAAUCAAACUGUGAUCACGAAAGUGAACAGCUCUAAGGAUAACAUGAAGUCAUCAAGACACGUUCAGAGAAGGUUGAAGUCUGUCAGGAAAAUGAGAAACUCCGGAGUUAUUGCAUUGGAUUAUAUCCAAACGUCUAAAAAUCUGGCAGAUCCUUUCACUAAGGGUCUAUCACGUAAUGUGAUAGAUAAUGCAUCGAGGGAGAUGGGUAUGAGACCCACAAUAUGAGUUGUUCACAGUGGUAACCUAUUCUUUGUGAUCGGAGAUCCCGUGAAUUAGAUGUGGAAGACAAGCUGUUGGUCAACUGGGAGGAGAGUAUCCUUAUUUUUAAAAAUACCACUCCAUGAAGAUGCAAUACUCUCCUAAUCUGCAUGGCAGGUUGAUGUAUAUCUUAAUGUGUUCUAAGUGGCUCUUUGAAGCAGAGAUGUUGUCCUGCAGAACAUCUUUUGAAGAACACACCUAUAUGAGUCUGAUUGUCAAACGUCGCAAUCUAUGAGAGUANNNNNNNNNNNNNNNNNNNNNNNNNNNNNNNNNNNNNNNNNNNNNNNNNNNNNNNNNNNNNNNNNNNNNNNNNNNNNNNNNNNNNNNNNNNNNNNNNNNNGUUUUCGCAUGUUAUUUGAUGCGAAAGUCUCGAAGACUGUUAAUACCGUACCGGUACUGCUGGGCUGUUUGCCCGGGGCUAAAAAGCCUUCGCCACUUUUGGCCACCUGCCGUAGUAUCCAACAUGCUCGAAGGCUGUGUGUUGGAGUGGCGCCCUCCGUACUGUGGAUUUUGCAGGGUCCGUUGAGCCAGCCCUCCAGUACGGUUCCAUGCCCUUUAGGGGGUCUUUGCUUUUUGGUUUUUAACCCAGGUGCUUGAGUAUGGCGCACCCUUUUACUUCGGACUAGGGUUGUGGUCAAGGCCGGACUGUCCCAAAACCUAGUUUCGGUGUUCCUGGCACUCUCUACCGCACAGUAUUUUUGUACGAUAGUCGCUAGGUCGAUGAAGCGUGUAACUUCGCGACGACUUAUGGCGUUCAUGAUUCCCUUGUCCGUGCAAUUGUUGCAGAAAAUUGAAAUCGCGCUUUCUUCGCAGCAGUCCUUUAUCCUGUUCAUAACUAGGAGGAAUCUGGCCCAGUAAUGAUGUACUGUUUCAUCGGGCUCUUGCCGUAUUCGAGAUAGAUCGCUUAUGUUUGGGUGGGCGGGUGGAAUCAAGUUCGGAACCCCGCCCGAUCUGAGGCUCAAAGGCCAAGAAGUUUCCGGAUUUGGAAGCUUGACUUGCUGGAUGCUUUCCAACGAAUCUAGUCCGAUGCCUGACUCUAAGUUCAGUAUUUGAUUAGCGUCCGUCCCUUCGCGGGAAUCCGGCUUGGAGGGAUCGGGAAUCCGGACAUAGUUGGUUUUCAACGUAGAAGAAGGGUUGCCGCAUUGUUCCUCUACCACGACAACGUGGUGGGUGGCCUGAGGAGAGUUAAUCUCUCUCAGAUCGGGUUUAAGCCCAAUCUGAUCAUAGUCUGUAGCGACUCCCAGGGCGGCGAUGCGAUCCAAGAGCUCGUUUACAGAGGAGAGCUCAAUCGGAUCUAACUGCUUGGCGAAUUCCGGGCUGACGUGAAGAUCGCUUUUGAUGACCUGAGAGGUCAUCGUCGGAGCGGUGGCCGAACAGGCGGUCAUAAGAAAACCACCUAGCCGGACAGUUUGGCCGGCGGCCAAAGCUCUCUUGACGACGGUGCUGUCUUUAAAGACGGGAGAAGGCAUCCUUCCUGAUCGCGAUAGCACAGAGGAACUCUCAAUGAAAGCACCAAUGUCGGUGUCAAAACCGGCGGAUCUCGGGUAGGGGGUCCCGAACUGUGCGUCUAGGCGGAUGGUAACAGGAGACGAGGGACACGAUGUUUUUACCCAGGUUCGGGCCCUCUUGAUGGAGGUAAUACCCUACGUCCUGCUUGAUUAAUAUUGAUGAUGUGGGUUACAAGAGUAGAUCUACCACGAGAUCAAGGAGGCUAAACCCUAGAAGCUAGCCUAUGGUAUGAUUGUUGUUCGUCCUAUGGACUAAGGCCAUCCAGUUUAUAUAGACACCGGAGAGGGCUAGGGUUACACAGAGUCGGUUACAAAGGUAGGAGAUCUACAUAUCCGUAUCGCCAAGCUUGCCUUCCACGCCAAGGAAAGUCCCAUCCGGACACGGGACGAAGUCUUCAAUCUUGUAUCUUCAUAGUCUUGGAGUCCGGCCAAUGAUGAUAGUUCGGCUAUCCGGACACCCCCUAGUCCGGGACUCCCUCACACACAAAGUGUCCAUGAAGUAAAUAUGAGUCCGUGCGGCAAGAUUGUUCGUGACAAGACACAUGAUGCUUAUCAAGAUGAUCUAGAAAUAUAUGCAAAGAAUUCAUUGGAUAAUUAGCAUGGUGCACAAAGCGACAAAUUCUACCAUUGUGCAAAAUGAUGUCAUAGAGAGACGGUUCAUAAAUAACAUGAAUAUGGCAAUGGAUGCUCAAUACGUGUAAGCUAUCAUGCAAUUGAUGGUGGACAAUAUGAUCAUGAUGUAUGAAUAUGCCAUCAAGGAAGAUCACAACAAAUUUGCUAAGGAAGUGCACGAGCUCAUAUAUCAUGGAUGACAUGGGAAUAUAAGAUGCAACAAGGCAAUCAUAAUGUGAGUCAAUCCAUGCAUAGGGUGCAAACUUGCGGUGAGUAUGAUAUGUCAUCGAGCAUGACAUGUAUGAGCACAAUCAACAAAUAUGGAUGUGUGAGUGCAAUGUGUCAAAGGAGUGUUGAUGUACCAAUGCUCGAUGUCGUCGCAUGAGCGGAAUUCCGAAGGUGCAUCCCAUAAGUGCGAGCGCUCCUCAAUGUGAAGGUCCAUGUAGCCAAUCUCCAAUGUCGCUCCUCCGGUCGCGAGAUGUAUCAUGUAGACAACAAGAAGGAAACAACAAUGAAAGAGUGAUCCAUCCAAUAUGCAAACUUGAGGAUCGCUCAAAGGGAAGGAGUUCACCUUUAGUAGAUUCUCGCAAAUGUUGGUGUUGCACAUCAUGUAUGCCUUCGCAUGACCAAGUUGUCGCAUAACGGCAUCGCCUUGUGAAACCUCCAAAAUGAAAGAACACGACAAACAGUUGGAAAAACAAAUGAGGUUAGCGGAAAUGCAAAACCUAUCAUUCAAGUGGUAAGAUACCCAACAAGUGUAUGCAUCAUGCUCAUCAUAAGAAAGUACAAGGGAGCAUGUCAUAGUAUGGAGGCAUAUGAUGCAAGAACAACCAAGUACAAUAGGCUCAAUCAAACUAGCAUGCAUCACAAGUAAGGUGUCAAAGUCUCCAAGAUCAAUAAGCAUAGUAUGGUUGCACUCAAUACAAGUGGAUAUGAAAGAGGCAACUAAUGGACACAAGAGACAAUGAUCAAUAUAUAUCAUGUGAGAGGCAAGAGCAUAUAUGUCAUCAACCCAAGAAAGCAAGUAAUAGUGGAACAUGGGUGAUGCAACAUAGCAAGUAAUCAUAGCGAACAAGUCAAGCAUGCUAGCAGCGCGAAGAUGCAACAUACUAGGAGGAAUCAUGGCAAGCAUGUCAUGUGUGCGAAUAGUGGGCAUGAAUAACACACAUGAUAUAUCACAAGCAUGAAAGCAAGAUAUGAGUAGAAUAGCAUGAAUGUAUUGGCGAGAGGCCAUAUGUAAAUAGCAAUGGGGCAUCAUGACUCUCCCAACACAACAAGCAUCAAUAGCAUGGGUGAUCAGGACAUCAAUACCAUUGUUACACCCACAGCCCCUGCUGCUAUACAUACUGGACCAAUUACUAGAGCUCGCGCACGCCAACUAAAUUACCAGGUACUUUCGUUUCUUGGUAAUGAUUCUAAUGUUCAUGAGAAUAUGAUGCUGCCUAAAUUGGAUACAUUUAUUUUGCUUACAAAUGAAGGGCCUAGCUUGGAGAAGGAUGAACAUUGGAGCAAGAAAAAGCAUGGAGAUGAUGACAUGCGCAAGGGGAACAAGAACGGAUUUACGAGUGAUGAUUUCAAGCCUUUGAAGCCACCAUAACGAGUGCAUGAAGCCUCUGACGAAAUAUACAAGAUGCCACUUCAUAAAUUUCGUCCAGAGGCUAUUAUAGGUGCUGCGUCACCUUUUUAUUGGGCCAGGCCCAUGUAAUUUCAAAAUACAUUAGUAUAGGCUAUUUUUAGAGUUUGUAUGUGUGGGGAAACAAGAGUUAGGGUUGAUUUCGGACCCCUCGACCAAGGGCCACGAAAUUACCCCUCUCUUCCUCCAUAUAUACAGCCCUUAGGGCACCGUUUAUACUUUGGGGUUUUGUUUAGAUUGAAGUUCGCCAUAGCUGCAACUUCGCGCACUUCGUUUGUGUUCAACGACCAGACAAAGGCGUCAUAGAACCCCACCUUGAUCAAUAAAUCUUUCAUCUUAUAUUCGCAAUAUCCAGAUUGCAAUCUCAGUUUCUUGCUUGUUCUUCGUUUGCUCGCAGGAAACAGACCCUCGUGGUCAGGUUGAUCGUGCUCCGGCGUGGUCAAUAACCUCUCGGAGUUGGUUUAGCGAUUGCUAAGGUAGCGACGUCCUCGCACGUUCGUAGUCGGAUCGUCAAAGUCGACUUCCACCAAAGCGAAAUCCAUCAUCUCAUCGAAAGACGGGACACCUUUGCCUCUAUCAAGUGGUAUCAGAUUUCCAGGUUGCUCGGUGAGAUUUUACAGUUUUUCCUAGUUUAGAUCGAGUCUGUUCUUCAUACCUACAGUCCACGAAAAAGCCAAAAAAAAUUAGGGUUAGUUCAUCAUAUCCGAACCAAUCUGAGCUUUUGCAUAAUCUUUUUAGGGCUUUGCUUUGUUGAAUUUGCGGUUGCAUCAUCGUGUCUAGUUGCUGGUCUUAGUGUUAGUCUUUUAGAGUUUCGAGUUCUGGUCAUAAGUUGUCACGCCGCCACCGCACCAUCAUCAUCGCCCCUGUCAUCUACCACCACCGCUCCGAAUCCGUAUCCAUAUACCACCACCAAUCCGUAUCCCUAUACCACCACCGAUCCAUAUCCAUAUACUACCACCGCUACCACCACCGCUGCCAUAUACCACCACCGCUGCCAUAUAUCACCACCAUAUAUCCACCACCAAUCCGAGUUCCUUGCAUAUUAGGUUUGUUUUCGAGAUCCAUCUAGUUUCUGAUUCUUGUUUCCUUGCCUGAGUAGGUUUUUAGGUGUUUCUAAGCGUAUUGAGACAAUCGCCGUUAUAGAAAGUUUUUUUGACCCGUUUCCAGUUUUUGGGUCCGGGCAGUCGAAAAAAAAUUGGUCGAAAAAAUUUCGUGCCCAUCCUGUCAGUUUGACCUGGGAAGAGUUUUGAGACACUCGCCAUUAUAGUGAUUUUUCGCAAAAAAAAANNNNNNNNNNNNNNNNNNNNNNNNNNNNNNNNNNNNNNNNNNNNNNNNNNNNNNNNNNNNNNNNNNNNNNNNNNNNNNNNNNNNNNNNNNNNNNNNNNNNAAAAAAAAAAUCAUUACCCUGCAAGUAGUGCUGCACUUGAGUGCAUUCUCGAGUCAUACAGAUUCCUAGUUUCCUACUGCUACAAAGCCGUAAUAAUCAUUGGAUUAGUGCAAGGAACAGAAGUGUAACGAUGUGUAGUGGAUUCAAGAAGUGGGAGGGAGGUGCAGGGGUUACCUUCUUGCAGGUCAACGGGGAGGCGUGGUAGUAGAUGCAGUCAGUUCUCCGACCACGCCGCAGCUCCUCCUCGUCAACCGGCAUGUGCGGCGACGGAAUCCAUCGCUGCAGUAGAGCGAGCAAGGCCGAGCAGCUGAAUCAAAGGAAGCAACAUAGGAAUGAAGCGGAAGCACUUCUCCUUGACCUGGAUUUAUUAUUUCCACCAUCAAGCCGAGCCUGCCGCCUCCCCCACGACAGAUCAAACCACCACCAGCACCUGCUCGCUUGCAUAGGCGAGGAGAUGAAGACGAGGACGAGGGCUGAGGAGACUGGCGGGGACGGGGGCGGGGGCAGGAGUAGGCGGUGGUCCAGCGAGGAGACGGAAGGACAGUGCACGCUGGGAGCAGAGUUUGAGUUUGUUGAGUCUGAGUCUAGUAUAGCGAUGCAUGCCAUCAUGGUGAAGUGGACUGAUGGAUUAGCAGAGGUGAGACCUGAUCGUCAGUCAAGUGAACCAGGAGUUGUGAGUACAUGCAAGUACUAGUUAGAUUUAGUCAAGAACUAGCUUAGUGGUCGUUCUGUUAGUGUGAAGCUGCAUGCACCCGUGUAGUGUGAAGUCCCAGUAGCCAAGUCGUGAUCAGAUGGACGUGGAGCUAGAGAAGCGGAUCGCGGUGCCGUUGUGGACUAGCUCCUUCGUGGCAGUGACUCAACGUGUGUGCGUGUGGGUAGUGGUGAGUAGAAAUCGGAGCAAGCCGGUGUGCGGCUUGGUCAGUGCGUUUGCUCCCCUUUAAAAGGAGUUGUAAUCAGUUUGUUUGAUUAAGCAAAAAAAGAACAAGAGAAAAGCGGCAGAAGUGCGUUGCCACCAAAAGCUCUGUGUGUUCUUGUGUGCUGUGUGUGUGCCUGCCUAAGUUCAUCUCCUAUCCUGGGUAGAGAUUACAUUUGGUAUUCAGAGCCAUGGUGACUGAAGGUUCGCGCACUCUGUCGCCGGGUCGCCGCCGUGUCUCGGCCUCGCCGGUGGUGCGCCGAGGCCGGAGCCCGACACGGCGUGGCUGCCGCGAGGUGGUGGUGCAGCAGGAGGUCGUCCACCAGGCCAGCAGCACCAUCGUCUACCCGCCGCUGACGGCGACGAACUACUUUGAGUGGUCGCUGAUCAUGAAGGUGAACAUGGAGGCCCAACGCGUGUGGGACGCCAUCGAGGGAGGCGGGACAUUCAGCCAGGACAGGGCGGCGCUUGCGGCAAUUCUGCGAGCCGUGCCGGAGGAGAUGCACUCCACGCUUGCCGUGAAGGCGACGGCAAAGGAGGCAUGGGAUGCCAUCAAGAUCAUACGGGUCGGCGAUGCCCGCGUCCGUGAGGCCAAGGCGCAGACUCUUCUCAAGGAGUUUGAUGCCGUCCGCAUGAGGAGCGGGGAGACCCUCGAUGAGCUCGCCAUGCGCAUGAGCGGGAUCGCCAACAAGCUGCGCACGCUCGGUGAGAACCUCGACGAGGUGAAGGUCGUGAAGAAGCUUCUCCGCAUCGUGCCUUCCAAGUAUACCCAGGUAGCCAUUGCCAUUGAACAACUUCUUGAUCUUAAAACCAUGUCCAUGGAAGAGCUUGUGGGAAGGCUCAAAACGGCGCAGGACCGGAGCGACUUGGACGAGGGCGCCAACAACUACGACCAGGGUGGUGGGAGUCGCCUGCUCCUCACGGAGGAGGAGUGGCUUGCUCGCCACCGCAGCGGCACCGGCAAGAAGAAGGGCAACUUCGACAUACGCAAGGUGCGUUGCUACAACUGUCAAGAGUACGGGCAUUACUCCAAGGACUGCACCGAGCCAAGGAAGCAGCGGGCACUUCUUGCUGCCGCGACGGCCGACGACGAGCCGGGGCUGCUGUGAUGCUACGGCAUGGGAGUUCCCAAUAAAAGACAACAAGAUUAAGGGGGUGAUUGUUGGUGUUAAUCUUGUUGUUUAGGAGUUUAUUAUGUUUUAUUUCUGUUUGAGUUUGUUGAGUCUGAGUCUAGUAUAGCGAUGCAUGCCAUCAUGGUGAAGUGGACUGAUGGAUUAGCAGAGGUGAGACCUGAUCGUCAGUCAAGUGAACCAGGAGUUGUGACUACAUACAAGUACUAGUUAGAUUUAGUCAAGAACUAGCUUAGUGGUCGUUCUGUUAGUGUGAAGCUGCAUGCACCCGUGUAGUGUGGAGUCCCAGUAGCCAAGUCGUGAUCAGAUGGACGUGGAGCUAGAGAAGCGGAUCGCGGUGCCGUUGUGGACUAGCUCCUUCGUGGCAGUGACUCAACGUGUGUGCGUGUGGGUAGUGGUGAGUAGAAAUCGGAGCAAGCCGGUGUGUGGCUUGGUCGGUACGUUUGCUCCCCUUUAAAAGGAGUUGUAUUCAGUUUGUUUGAUUAAGCAAAAAAAAGAACAAGAGAAAAGCGGCAGAAGUGCGUUGACACCAAAAGCUCUGUGUGUUCUUGUGUGCUGUGUGUGUGCCUGCCUGAGUUCAUCUCCUAUCCUGGAUAGAGAUUACACACGGGCGCAGCGCGCAUGGAGAUGGAGGACGGCAGCGACGUGGCGAGGGAGCCAGACCACGGCGGUACCAUCAGCCGCGGCGUUGUCUGGCUGGCCGCCUUCACCGGCGCCGUCUGUGUGGUCAUGGGCGUGAUGUAUGGGCUGGCUUUCUGCUGCAGCAGUAGCUGCUGGUGCCAAGGGGUCCCGUGGUUCGUCCUCGUAGUGUUGGGCGCGGUCGUGGCCACCGGGUGCGGCAUCUGGGCCAUCCUCGCCCUCCGCUUGUGCUGCGGUUGAUGGCGGUCCGGCUGCCUCGAGAGGCGCCAUGACGGUGUGCUCCAGUCCAUGCUUAGUUGGUCCAUUCAUUAGAGCUAGCUUGUGUCGCAUCCAUGCACGUAUUCGUUAGUUGCAUCAUUGUGUACGUGAUCACGUGACCUGUAUAAUUCUAUCGCACUUCAAUUUCUUGUUGGGAAUAUUUUGCAGUUCAAACCGUUACUCUAGGUAUGAUAUGUUCUCACAAUUGACUUCAUGUUGACGAUUGAUUCAAUACUAAAUCUCACUUUUCUCUUACCAUUAAAUAUUAGGCCAGUACUAGGCGCCGGCCGGCCAUAUCUUUCGCCCAGCCGCGCGCUAGCCCUCAGAUUAGUCCCCACAUAGCCGUCAGAUGGGCUUUCUUCCGCAUCAUCUCUCUCGCCCCCUGCGUAAAAAUCUGAGAAGAAAACUCUGGAGACAUGGGGGCUGCCCUCGUCCAUGUUGGACAGCGCGCAUCCUCGCUGUCGACCGUCACAGCUGACACUCGCCCCUCGCCGGUGCUACCCUCCCUCCCUCCCUUGCCCCUGCAGAGUUAAUGGAGACGAUAAUUGGUUCGAAGCCAACAACCAUGGUAACAAAAUUCUGCUUUGGUUCCAGCAAAACCAAAAACGAUGGAAGCAAAAUUGUAAAAUUCGGCGAUGUUCCAGCAAACUGAAAACGGUGGUGGUAGCAAAAAUUUAAUUUUGUUCCAGCAAACAAAAACGUCAUUGGUAGCAUAAACUACAAAAAUUGGGCGUUAGUAAGGCAAAAACAAAAAUGCCCGUUGUAGCAUAAAAUGCAGCUGGUUCCAGCAAACCAAAUCGCUGGUUGUAGCAAAAUUGCAAAAAAAAUGGCAUUGGUUCCAGCAUAACCCAAACGGCGGUGAUAGCAAAAAUUUGUGUUGGUUACAACAAACCUAAAAACAGUGAUAGCAAAAAUAUAAAAUUUGUCCAAACCAAAACAUUGGUUCCAGCGGUGAUACAGCAACGUCACACACCAUUCUCAAUAGUCCACCCAGCCUUGCAGCACCGAGUAACUGGUAGCAGCACCGAGCAACUGAUAGCAGCAAAGAGAAAAGAGCACACAACACGUGGCAGUUUCGGCGAGGUAUGCGGCAAGGAACAACACAUGGAUGGCAUGGCAGGCCGGCCUACAACGCUGGCUGACUUGCAUGAGCCACCUUCAUCCUCGCAGCAGUGGGGUGGCGAGCUUUGAGGACCUAUGAUUGAAGAGAAGCCAGAGAACAUGAGGAGGCUCCCGAAAGAUUUAUGUCCAAGGACGGACAAUGUGUAAGAGACAUGAGAGCAUAAGGACAGAUUAACUGAGAAAACAACUUCAAUCGAGAUAUUUUGUGGUGAGAGGAUAACGGUAGGGAAGAAAAAGCGGCGUGUGGGCCCCAAGGAGGCACAGCAAUCUACUGAAUCAAACAACUUUCCAAAAAAAUCAUUAUGAUAGUUCAUACGGUUAAGUGUAUGUGCAUGCGUAUGAGCGUUUGCGUCUGUACUGUGUUAAGAAAAGAUAAAAAGUAUUUCAUAAGUUCUGUAAAAGAUAAAAAAAAAGUUUAUUGGAUGGUGCUAGUGGCUGGCCCAUAUAAGGCCUUUCAUAUGUUUAUGAAUAAACGACAACCCUUCGCUUAAGUCGCUGGAUAGGAGGAUUGGUUGAACAUGUAUGCUAGUACAUAGCAAGAUCCUAUCUAAAUUACCAAAACCAUUAGUUGAGGAGUACUCGUUGUAAAGAUCACUACAACUUUCCUGGUUGCGACAAGUGGCGCACAUGCAGCGCGNNNNNNNNNNNNNNNNNNNNNNNNNNNNNNNNNNNNNNNNNNNNNNNNNNNNNNNNNNNNNNNNNNNNNNNNNNNNNNNNNNNNNNNNNNNNNNNNNNNNGUACGACCCAACUUAAACACCAACACUGCAAGACUCUCGUGAGGGGCCAAGCCUCACGAGGAGGGAAACGCCAAUACCCCCAAAGGAAUCGGCCUCCUCAGCAGGGCUCCUGAUGGGCGGAGAGUUCUAUGCAAGUUACCUCACGAGGCUCAGCUGACGUGAGCUAUGACGACCAAGGCUAAGCGGGCGCAGAGCGUAGGUUUCCUCUUCGGUGCAAAGGAGGCAAGCCACAAGCAUGGAGACCCGAGGAAUCAGCCAAAGGUUUCCAUUUCGGUGCAACAAGACCAAGACUGCCAGGACGGCAGGAUGGAGGUCCUCGACGAGCCCACCGCAGCGUCACAACCAGAGGCUUUUUGCAGGCGAAGACAACUUUUGCCAGGAUAGACUGUACUACUUGUCCCCUUUCAAAUCCGGCCAUUGUGGGAUCCCUUCCCGCUCUUAUUUGGGAAGAGGACGAAGGCCACUAUAAAUAGGACUAGCCACCACCAUAGAUGGGAUAGGACAGACGGGAUUAGAACAGGUAGAGUUAGCAUACACCACACUAGCUCAAGAACACCUCACCUCCUGAGGCUUGUUCAUCCACUGUACUAGUACAUCCUCAGUCCUCUGAGGAAAUCCACCAUACCACACUAGAUUAGGGUAUUACACCACAACUGUGGCCUGAACCAGUAUAAAUCACCGUGUCUUUGUGUCUCUUUGAGCUCGACGCGCUAGGCUUAGGAGGAACGCGAGUAGGCACGCACCCCAGAGUUCGAACCUCUCAAGGGUUUGUGGAUCCCUAAAUCCGACAUUUGGCGCGCCGGGUAGGGCUGUGUCGGAUCCUCUCUUCCGUCGUUCGAUCCACCACCGCUCCGACACCUCCAUGGCCGACGCGCGCCAGGCUUGCACCGAGCGUCGGGCUGUAGUCGCCGCCCGCGUAGCUCAGACGGCUUCGGCGGGUGAUGGCUAUGCCCGCCGUGCUCCUUCUUCGGUGGCCAAUGCCACCUGGCCAUGAGCAGCAAGCUUCAUCGCUGCACCCAUCGGUGCGCCGUGACGGCCGCACCACUACUGCGUCACAGACCCCAGUAGCUUCAUCAUCCCAUGCACGUGGCGGCCAGGUGCAUGCACAGGCCGCUCUGGUCACGGCACGGGAGCUUCUUCAAUAUCGCCCGGUGGGUGAUCUCUACGAGGAGUGGCUCGAGCGGAUCACCGAGCUCAUCAGCAUCGCGCACGGGAGCUCCGACGGGCCGGCUCGCUCACUGCCUCAGCAACCACCUUCAGCGAGUGAUGUGGCGCACGAGGCUCCACCACCACCUCCGGCCCAGGGCGCCAUCAUCGAGCCAAGGAGUAUGGCUCUAUGCGCUACCCGCAGCGCCCGGUGCUUGCUCGGGAGGAUGUGAGCUGCCAGGUGGUGCAGUGUUCCCAAGGAGAAGCGCACGUGCUUCCAGCACCCCAGCACCAGGUUCGCGUGCCGCCACAGGAGGUGGCAGUGCCCGUGGACCAGGACCAUGUUCCACCCCCUCGACGACCUCCGGUGGCCACGAUAGGAUGUCGCGCAUUCACCCCAAAGCUCCGCAACAUCGUCUGGCCAAGCAAGUUCAAGCCCGACCGGCCUCCGCGCUACGACGGCACCGCCGCCCCCGCCGAGUUCCUGCAGCUCUACGAGCUGAGCAUCAAGGCAGCCAGCGGCGACGAGAAGAUCAAUGCAAACUAGUUCCCGAUGGCCCUAAAAGAUGGCACGUGUUCUUGGCUCCUAGACCUGACUGAGGGGUCGGUUUCUUACUGGGAGGAGAUGCGUAGCCGCUUCAUUGCCAACUUCCAGAUCACUCGUGAUCAUCCGCCGGCCGCGGGUGACCUGCGUCGCAUGAAGCAGCAACCUGGAGAAACCCUGCAGAAGUAUAUCUAGCGCUUCAACAACAUUCACCUCAAGAUUCCCAAGGUGUCCGACGAGGCCAUCAUCUCCGCGUUCACCGAUGGCGUCUGUGAUGUCAAGAUGAAGCAGGAGCUCGCCAUCCACAAGGAUCUCUGCACCGCUCUGGAGAUGGUCAACAUGGCGAACAAGUGUGCAAGGGCUGAGGAGGACGCCUCUCCCUCCUCGAUCUCCCCGAUGCUGAUCUAGAAGACAAGAAGACCAUGACCAAGGACGUGAAGUGCAAGGGAACAGCCAUGCUUGCGGCAGAACCAGAGACGAAGCGCGGCUUCGACCACCUCGAGUCAACCAAGAGCAAGCGGCCGUUCUGCACCUUCCACAACAUUUACAGCCACAACACCAGUGACUGCCAGGAACUCAGGGCUCUCCAUGACGGGCGCCUCUGUCGACACCCCAAGUGCAACGAUCGAGGCUACAAUCGCGGAGGUGGCUAAGGUGGAGGAUGCUGGGAUGGACCGACCGUCGUCAGGAGUGGCGCAACCAGCCUCGUGAGGACCGCUAGCAAGGCCAGCCUCCCGAGGGCGACUAGAGGGAGCAGCCUCGUGAGGAUCGACCUCAAGGCAUCGCAACUUUGCCUCCUCUGUCUCCACCGCCAAGGAGGAAUGAAGACCACCACUAGGACGAGGGGGCUAGGGGCUUCCAGGAGCCUUGGGCCAUUGCUUGCAUCUUGGGUUGCUCAAAGGCCCUGGCUUCCCACCGCGUCUUCAAGCAGUUUGCGUGCGAGGUGAAUGCUGUGCUCCCCAAGCCUGAAGUAACUCGCCCUCUCAGGUGGUCCAAGUGCACCAUCACCUUCGACUCCGCAGACCGGCUCAAGUGUGUGGCCACCGCCGGCGUGCUCCCCAUGCUCUGCUCCCCCGUAAUCAGCAAUGUGGUCGUCACGAAGACUCUCAUCGAUGGUAGAGCAGGACUCAAUGUUCUCUCUCUUCAGACGUUUGACAGGCUCCAGGUGCCAUACUACCAGCUUCACCCCACCAAGCCUUUCUCAGAAGUGACCGACAGAUCGACACACCAGAUCAGGAAGGUUCGCUUCCCUGUCACCUUUGGCGAGCACAACAACUACCACACUGAGCUCAUCAACUUCGACGUCGCUGACAUCCACCUGCCCUACAACGCCAUCCUAGGGUACCCAGCACUUGCCAAGUUCAAGGCGGCCAUGCACCAUGGCUACAAUGUCCUCAAGAUGCCAGGAAGCGGCGGCGUCAUCAUAGUCGCCUCUCAAGAGAAGGAUGCAGUGUGCUCCCUCGAGCGCGCCUUCCAGGCUGCGGCAGUUGAAAACCCCGAAGACGAGGAUGGUGCCCUCCUUCCUGAGGUCGCCCCCAAGAUGAAGAAGCUGCAACUGGGAGAGGGGUCUCCCUCAUGUGGCCGUCUUGUGUCGACCGAUGCGAGGAUCUGCCUCACAGCUACGUCUGCAUGCCUUUUGGCUUGGAGGGCGCGGAUGAGGCGUUCCAGCAUACACAAGGGAUGCUCGGACGGCCUGCGAGGCCAGGCACCAAGCGGUCCUGGCAGAGAUGGAGAAGCACCUUCAGGAGCCUCUCGGUCCCUCCGAGCCUCCUGAGGCUCGGCACCAGAGCGGCUCAUGAGGAACGGCUUCAACAGCUCGUGUUUUUUGGCUACUUCAACACCUCUUCAGCAACGGUACCAGGUGACAUCUCUCCAGUUCGUUCAGUUUGGGGGCGCCCCUCGGGCUGCAACAUCACCAGGCCGUGUGGGUCCAUCCCUACAGAAUGUACCCCUUCCGUAUUUAUCAGAGCUAGUUACAAUCCUUUGAAAGCUACUUCUACGUGGGUCCGUACCCUGCUCGGCGCUUCGUCGCUAAGAACGUCUCCUUCCCUUGCAAGCCCUCCCACGCUACCUCAUGAUUAAGGACAGGCACGGCGUCUGUGCUCGGGUCCUUCCCUGCAGCAUCGCUAAACCCAAGUAUCUGAGCUCUGGCUCACGGGCUAGCUCCUGUGCACGUCACCUCCCAUGGCUCUUGGUGCCUUGUUCUCGCAUGAGCUAAUCGUGGGUGGAUGAGUGAGGGUGCGUGACCUAGUGCCCCCGUGGCCAUGGGAACCGUGCGCCAUUUGUUUUUCUUCAGGAUCUUUGCAUGAGAAGACAGGGCACGACGUCUGUGCCCCGGUCCGUCCCUGUAGCGUUGAUAAAUCCAAUGGCUGAGCUCUGUGUGGCGGGCCGGACCCAUUCACGUCACCUCCUGGGGUCGUUGGUGUCUGUCCUUCUCAUGCAAUAACCUCAGGAAACUCAUUUGGUGCAGGCCGCCUAACCAUCCUGCAGGAACAAUCCAAGCACCUCCAAUCAAGACCAGGCACAACCCGCCUUGAGGUAGGGCCUCAUGAGUCCUGCGCUGGCUCAUGGGUGCCCAUAUACACCUCCUCUAGCCCUAUCAUGCAAGCCACAUGUCAGGACGGACGGGGAUGUACACGCCCCGGGAGCUCUCCUCAGAAGGAGCCCCCUCCCACGCACCAGUGGAAGCACCACGCUCCGCGCUGGCCAUCGACACUACCUAGGAGCGGCUAUGCCCAUGCAAGAGCGGAAGAGCUAUGCUCCUCGCUGGUGAUAAACAACUAGGGGUGGGCUCACAGCCGCAUUAACCUCAGGGAGCCACCAGGUUUAGUGACUAGCCUCACCGCGCUGCUCUUCCUCGGGAAGGUAGCGCAAGGGGGCUGGGCACGGGGGGCUACGCUCAGGUCACGCCUGGCGUACACCAACUUGCCAGGCCUCAUAGGCCUGGUCUUCGCGCACCCCUCCCAAGCGAGAGCUUGGCGAGGAAAAGGUAUGUUGGCCUGUUCGUACNNNNNNNNNNNNNNNNNNNNNNNNNNNNNNNNNNNNNNNNNNNNNNNNNNNNNNNNNNNNNNNNNNNNNNNNNNNNNNNNNNNNNNNNNNNNNNNNNNNNAUUUUUUUGGCCGAAUUGGGACAAGCUUUGGUGUAAGCUUCUUGCAAUCCGGAGCUUCCCUCAAGAAGACUCGUGGUUCCGACACGGAACGUGUCGCCUACGUGUGUGAAACUAGAUACGUAUAUUGCCUUCUCCCGCCUUAAUUUUUUUACACAGGCAGAUUAGAUCAAAUAGAGGUAUCAUGCUAAAAUUUUGAAUUAUUCUGGGUCCGUUUGGCAUUUUUAUGCAUUAAUUGUGUUUCUAGGCAUUUAAUGUGCAUAACUAAAUUUGAACUACAAGAAUAUGCUCCAGUGCACCAAAGUUGUUUGAAAAAUCACAUGUGUGUCCUUGGGUGAAUUUAAAGGUCCUAUGCAAGAGAUGGGAAUGAAAUUCAAACAUCUGGGCGUUGUGGCUCGCCCGGAAAGAUUGAGAAACUUGGUUGUUUAAUUCCUGUAAAUCAAAAACGUGCCUGAAAAUCAUGAAACUUGGCAUGGUGUCAUGACAUGGCACCAACAUGCUACGGUAAUUUUUUUGGCCGAAUUGGGACAAGCUUUGGUGUAAGCUUCUUGCAAUCCGGAGCUUCCCUCAAGAAGACUCGUGGUUCCGACACGGAACGUGUCACCUCCGUGUGCGAAACUAGAUACGUAUAUUGCCUUCUCCCGCCUUAAUUUUUUUACACAGGCAGAUUAGAUCAAAUAGAGGAAUCCUGCUAAAAUUUUGAAUUAUUCUGGGUUCGUUUGCAUUUUUAUGCAUUAAUUCAGUUUCUGGGUAUUUAAUGUGCAUAAUUCAAAUUUGAACUACAAGAAUAUGCUCCAGUGCACCAAAGUUGUUUGAAAAAUCACAUGUGUGUCCUUGGGUGAAUUUAUAGGUCCUAUGCAAGAGAUGGGAAUGAAAUUCAAACAUCUGGGCGUCGUGGCUCGCCCAGAAAGAUUGAGAAACUUGGUUGUUUAAUUCCUGUAAAUCAAAAACACGCCUGAAAAUCAUGAAACUUGGCAUGGUGUCAUGAGAUGGCACCAACAUGCCACCGUAAAUUUUUUGGCCGAAUUGGGACAAGCUUUGGUGUAAGCUUCUUGCAAACCAGAGCUUCCCUCAAGAAGACUCGUGGUUCCGAGAGGGAACGUGUCACCUCCGUGUGCGAAACUAGAUACGUAUAUUGCCUUGUCCCGCCUUAAUUUUUUUACACAGGCAGAUUAGAUCAAAUAGAGGUAUCGUGCUAAAAUUAUGAAUUAUUCUAGGUCCGUUUGGCAUUUUUAUGCAUUAAUUGAGUUUCUAGGCAUUUAAUGUGCAUAAUUCAAAUUUGAACUACAAGAAUAUGCUCCAGUGCACCAAAGUUGUUUGAAAAAUCACAUGUGUGUCCUUGGGUGAAUUUCUAGGUCCUAUGCAAGAGAUGGGAAUGAAAUUCAAACAUCUGGGCGUCGUGGCUCGCCCGGAAAGAUUGAGAAACUUGGUUGUUUAAUUCCUAUAAAUCAAAAACACGCCUGAAAAUCAUGAAACUUGGCAUGGUGUCCUGACAUGGCACCAACAUGCUACGGUAAUUUUUUUGGCCGAAUUGGGACAAGCUUUGGUGUAAGCUUCUUGCAAUCCGGAGCUUCCCUCAAGAAGACUCGUGGUUCCGACACGGAACGUGUCACCUACGUGUGCGAAACUAGAUACGUAUAUUGCCUUCUCCCGCCUUAAUUUUUUUACACAGGCAUAUUAGAUCAAAUAGAGGUAUCGUGCUAAAAUUUUGAAUUAUUCUGGGUUCGUUUGGCAUUUUUAUGCAUUAAUUGUGUUUCUGGGCAUUUAAUGUGCAUAAUUCAAAUUUGAACUAUAAGAAUAUGCUCCAGUGCACCAAAGUUGUUUGAAAAAUCACAUGUGUGUCCUCACGUGAAUUUCUAGGUCCUAUGCAAGAGAGGGGAAUGAAAUUAAAACAUCUGGGCGUCGUGGCUCGCCCGGAAAGAUUGAGAAACUUGGUUGUUUAAUUCCUGUAAAUCAAAAACACGCCUGAAAAUCAUGAAACUUGGCAUGGUGUCAUGACAUGGCACCAACAUGCUACGGUAAUUUUUUUGGCCGAAUUGGGACAAGCUUUGGUGUAAGCUUCUUGCAAUCCGGAGCUUCCCUCAAGAAGACCCGUGGUUCCGACACGGAACGUGUCACCUACGUGUGCGAAACUAGAUACGUAUAUUGCCUUCUCCCGCCUUAAUUUUUUUACACAGGCUUAUUAGAUCAAAUAGAGGUAUCGUGCUAAAAUUUUGAAUUAUUCUGGGUUCGUUUGGCAUUUUUAUGCAUUAAUUGAGUUUCUGGGCAUUUAAUGUGCAUAAUUCAAAUUUGAACUAUAAGAAUAUGCUCCAGUGCACCAAAGUUGUUUGAAAAAUCACAUGUGUGUCCUUGGGUGAAUUUAUAGGUCCUAUGCAAGAGAUGGGAAUGAAAUUCAAACAUCUGGGCGUCGUGGCUCGCCCGGAAAGAUUGAGAAACUUGGUUGUUUAAUUCCUGUAAAUCAAAAACAUGCCUGAAAAUCAUGAAACUUGGCAUGGUGUCAUGACAUGGCACCAACAUGCUACGGUAAUUUUUUUGGCCGAAUUGGGACAAGCUUUGGUGUAAGCUUCUUGCAAUCCGGAGCUUCCCUCAAGAAGACUCGUGGUUCCGAGAGGGAACGUGUCACCUCCGUGUGCGAAACUAGAUACGUAUAUUGCCUUCUCCCGCCUUAAUUUUUUUACACAGGAAGAUUAGAUCAAAUAGAGGAAUCGUGCUAAAUUUUUGAAUUAAUCUGGGUUCGUUUGGCAUUUUUAUCCAUUAAUUCAGUUUCUGGGCAUUUAAUGUGCAUAAUUCAAAUUUGAACUACAAGAAUAUGCUCCAGUGCACCAAAGUUGUUUGAAAAUCACAUGUGUGUCCUUGGGUGAAUUUAUAGGUCCUAUGCAAGAGAUGGGAAUGAAAUUCAAACAUCUGGGCGUCGUGGCUCGCCCGGAAAGAUUGAGAAACAUGGUUGUUUAAUUCCUGUAAAUCAAAAACAUGCCUGUAAAUCAUGAAACUUGGCAUGGUGUCAUGACAUGGCACCAACAUGCUACGAUAAUUUUUUUGGCCGAAUUGGGACAAGCUUUGGUGUAAGCUUCUUGCAAACCAGAGCUUCCCUCAAGAAGACUCGUGGUUCCGAGAGGGAACGUGUCACCUCCGUGUGCGAAACUAGAUACGUAUAUUGCCUUCCCCCGUCUUAAUUUUUUUACACAGGCAGAUUAGAUCAAAUAGAGGUAUCGUGCUAAAAUUAUGAAUUAUUCUGGGUCCGUUUGGCAUUUUUAUGCAUUAAUUGAGUUUCUAGGCAUUUAAUGUGCAUAAUUCAAAUUUGAACUACAAGAAUAUGCUCCAGUGCGCCAAAGUUGUUUGAAAAAUCACAUGUGUGUCCUUGGGUGAAUUUCUAGGUCCUAUGCAAGAGAUGGGAAUGAAAAUCAAACAUCUGGGCGUCGUGGCCCGCCCGGAAAGAUUGAGAAACUUGGUUGUUUAAUUCCUGUAAAUCAAAAACACGCCUGAAAAUCAUGAAACUUGGCAUGGUGUCAUGACAUGGCACCAACAUGCUACGGUAAUUUUUUUGGCCGAAUUGGGACAAGCUUUGGUGUAAGCUUCUUGCAAUCCGGAGCUUCCCUCAAGAAGACUCGUGGUUCCGACACGGAACGUGUCACCUACGUGUGCGAAACAAGAUACGUAUAUUGCCUUCUCCCGCCUUAAUUUUUUUACACAGGCAGAUUAGAUCAAAUAGAGGUAUCGUGCUAAAAUUUUGAAUUAUUCUGGGUUCGUUUGGCAUUUUUAUGCAUUAAUUGAGUUUCUGGGCAUUUAAUGUGCAUAAUUCAAAUUUGAACUACAAGAAUAUGCUCCAGUGCACCAAACUUGUUUGAAAAAUCACAUGUGUGUCCUUGGGUGAAUUUAUAGGUCCUAUGCAAGAUAUGGGAAUGAAAUUCAAACAUCUGGGCGUCGUGGCUCGCCCGGAAAGAUUGAGAAAGUUGGUUGUUUAAUUCCUGUAAAUCAAAAACAUGCCUGAAAAUCAUGAAACUUGGCAUGGUGUCAUGAGAUGGCACCAACAUGCUACGGUAAUUUUUUUGGCCGAAUUGGGACAAGCUUUGGUGUAAGCUUCUUGCAAACCAGAGCUUCCCUCAAGAAGACUCGUGGUUCCGAGAGGGAACGUGUCACCUCCGUGUGCGAAACUAGAUACGUAUAUUGCCUUCUCCCGCCUUAAUUUUUUUACACAGGAAGAUUAGAUCAAAUAGAGGUAUCGUGCUAAAAUUAUGAACUAAUCUGGGUCCGUUUGGCAUUUUUAUGCAUUAAUUGAGUUUCUAGGCAUUUAAUGUGCAUAAUUCAAAUUUGAACUACAAGAAGAUGCUCCAGUGCACCAAAGUUGUUUGAAAAAUCACAUGUGUGUCCUUGGGUGAAUUUAUAGGUCCUAUGCAAGAGAUGGGAAUGAAAUUCAAACAUCUGGGCGUCGUGGCUCGCCCGGAAAGAUUGAGAAACUUGGUUGUUUAAUUCCUGUAAAUCAAAAACAUGCCUGAAAAUCAUGAAACUUGGCAUGGUGUCAUGACAUGGCACCAACAUGCUACGGUAAUUUUUUUGGCCGAAUUGGGACAAGCUUUGGUGUAAGCUUCUUGCAAUCCGGAGCUUCCCUCAAGAAGACUCGUGGUUCCGAGAGGGAACGUGUCACCUCCGUGUGCGAAACUAGAUACGUAUAUUGCCUUCUCCCGCCUUAAUUUUUUUACACAGGNNNNNNNNNNNNNNNNNNNNNNNNNNNNNNNNNNNNNNNNNNNNNNNNNNNNNNNNNNNNNNNNNNNNNNNNNNNNNNNNNNNNNNNNNNNNNNNNNNNNUGAAAAGACGCCUGACUUCUGCUCCCGUACUGGUACCGCCAGACUUCUCCAAGGACUUUGUUAUCUACUGCGACGCCUCGCGACAAGGACUAGGUUGCAUUCUCAUGCAAGAUCGACACGUAAUUGCUUACGCUUCACGGCAAUUGCACCCACAUGAGGAGAAUUAUCCCACUCAUGAUCUAGAGCUUGCAGCCGUAGUCUAUGCACUUAAGACCUGGCGACAUUACCUCCUCGGUAAUCGUUGCGAAAUAUUCACUGAUCACCAAAGUCUGAAGUAUAUUUUCACCCAACCGGAUUUGAAUCUCAGGCAGAGACGUUGGGUUGAAUUGAUCACUGACUUCGACUUAGGGAUAACCUAUACCCCAGGGAAAGCCAACGUCAUGGCUGAUGCGCUAAGUCGUAAAUCUUAUUGUAACAAUCUGAUGUUACAACAAAGUCAACCGCUUCUCCAUGAGGAAUUUCGGAAGCUUAACCUUCACAUUGUUCCUCAAGGUUUUCUUUCCACCUUGGUGGCAAAACCUACUCUUACGGAUCAAAUCAUCGCUGCCCAAAAGCGAGAUAAGGGAAUCUCUAAAAUCAAAGAGAACAUUGCUAGCGGAGGUGCUAGUUGUUUCUCCACAAAUGAUCAUGGUGUUGUGUACUUUGAGAAUCGUCUAGUGGUCCCCAAGAACCAGCAUCUGCGGCAGUUGAUCCUUAAGGAAGCUCAUGAAUCUCCUCUCACUAUUCAUCCCGGUAGUACUAAGAUGUAUCAGGAUCUACGCCAGAGGUUCUGGUGGACUAGGAUGAAGAGAGAAAUUGCUCAGUAUAUUGCAAACUGCGACGUCUGUCGUCGUGUAAAAGCACAUCAUCAACGGCCUGCUGGCACCCUUCAACCCUUAGCUAUUCCUGAAUGGAAAUGGGAUAAAAUUGGUAUGGAUUUCAUUACCGGUUUUCCCAGGACCAAAAGAGGGAAUAAUGCCAUUUUCGUCGUGGUCGAUCGUCUUUCCAAGGUAGCUCAUUUCCUACCUGUUCGUGAGAGUAUAACCGCUAGUCAGCUGGCAGACUUAUACAUCUCCCGAAUAGUGUCCCUCCAUGGUGUUCCUUUGGAAAUCAAUUCGGAUCGAGGAAGUCUUUUCACCUCUCGAUUUUGGGAAAGUUUCCAAAAUGCUAUGGGAACUCGUCCCUCCUUUAGCACCGCUUUCCACCCUCAGUCAAGUGGUCAAGUGGAACGCGUCAAUCAGAUUCUGGAAGACAUGCUUCGAGCCUCUGUUAUCUCGUUCGGAAUGGACUGGGAGAAGUGCCUUCCAUUUGCCGAAUUCGCUUACAACAACAGCUAUCAAUCUAGCUUGGGUAAAGCCCCUUUUGAAGUUCUCUAUGGACGACGAUGUCGAACACCCCUUAACUGGUCAGAGACCGGGGAAAGAAAAUUCUUUGGCCCGGAUAUGAUUCAGGAAGCAGAAGAACAAGUUCGUAUCGUUCGUGAAAAGUUGAAAACAGCCCAAUCCCGUCAAAAGAGUCAAUAUGACCGAAAACAUAAGGCUAUGACUUUCGAGGUUGACGAGAAGGCUUACCUUCGGGUCACCCCUCUGAAGGGAACCCAUUGUUUAGGUAUCAAAGGCAAAUUGGCUCCUCGUUACAUUGGACCUUUUCGCAUUCUUGCCAAACGAGGAGAAGUUGCCUACCAAUUGGAACUACCUCCGCACCUCUCCCGAGUUCACGAUGUCUUCCACGUUUCUCAACUCAGGCGUUGCUUCUCGGAUCCUAUCCGUGAAGUGGACCACGAAACGCUUGAUCUCCAAGAUAAUCUCACAUAUCGAGAGUACCCCAUUCGUAUCCUCGAUCAAGCCAAACGUACCACACGACGUCAUAAUAUCAAGUUUCUCAAAGUUCAAUGGUCGCACCAUUCUGAAGAUGAAGCAACUUGGGAAAGGGAGGAUCGUCUUCGACUUGAAUAUCCCGCCUUCUUCUCGGAGGAACCCAAAUCUCGGGACGAGAUUCUUUUGAGUGGGGGUGAGUUGUCACACCCUAGCUAGUCAUGCAUUAGAGUGUUGCACCAUGUUUACUCUUUCAUCAGAAACUUGAAAUGGGGAUGACAGAACCCCCAGUCCCCUCUGAAACCAACUAGGGUUUACUAAAAUAAUUUUCAAUGAACCUGAAAUGCCCUUCUAAAAUGCCCAUCAUUUUUGUCUUGGUUCAGAACCUCUGCCAAAAGUGGUGCACAUUUUCCUAGGCCAUCCCAAGGUUUUUGAAUUAAAUCAUAGAUAUUUGAAUUUGGGCAUUUAAAAUAAUAUAAAAUAUUUAAAUGCUCAAAUAUCUCCAAGCUAAAAUGUUUCAUGUUGGAAAUAAUCCAACUAUGGACCAGGAGUAGUUUGGUGAUUUUUGGAGUUGCCUAGGUAUUUUAUUUAAUUCAACAAAGUUGCAGAUAUAUUAAAUAAAAACAGAAAACAGAAAAUAAAUAAAGGGAGAAGCUUACCUGGGCUCCUCCCUGUGCGGCCCAGCCCAGCCGGCCCAGCACUGUGCUGGCCCGUGCCAGCCAGCUGCUUCCCCUCGCCAGAGCAGGCAGGGAGGUGAGCAUGGCGCGCCCGAGCUCGCCACGCACCACCCAGCCUCUCUGCAUCGCCCUGGUCGCCGUUGCGCCGCGUGGAUCGUCUUCUGGUCGUCGCCCCGACCUCGCCGACACCCCAUUCACUCUCCCCCGGCUCUCCCUCACUCUCUCUCUCUCACGGCCGAAGCUCACCGUCGCCGCCGUUCGCCUUAGCCACCGUCUCCGACCACCCCUCGCUUCCCCGACCAGCUCAGAAGCUCCGCCUCGACUCCCUCUUCCUCCCCACCGCUCCACGGGUCCCCGAAAGCCCUGCAUCACCGCCACGUCGCCGUUCCCCUCUUCGGGCUCCGAUCAUCGUCGCCGUCAAAUUCGUCGUCUCUGACGCGUCCCCGAGCCCGCUUCGACGCCCACUGCAACUGCGGUGAGCCCCCGGAGCGUUUCCCCCUUCUCCCCUGCUCUCUCCCGACCCCUAGGCCCUAGCCCCACCUCGGCCGAGAGCUUCACGCCGCCGGCGAUGUCGUCGUCGUGGCCACGAUCGCCGUAGCGCCCAACCGAGCACGCCAUCGUGCUCCACAUCUCACUAGGAGCACGUAGCACGCUCCAACACCCCCCCUAACGCCCUGCAACACCGUUCCCGUGCACGACCGAACCCCGGCGGCCGCAGCCGAGCUCGCCGCCGUCGACUCCGGCCACCCCGACCCCAACGGGCUCCGCCAAGAGCUGCGGGUUGUCCUCAGCUCCACUCCGGUGGCCUCCGCGGUCCAUUUGGUGGCCGAAACGACCAAAACCACUCUCGCCGCCGCGCUGAUGGUCGCCGCCGGCCAGAACCCCGGCUAGCUGACGUGGCCUAGUUAAUUAGCGACUAACCCCCCCAUCUACUGACGCUGACAAGUGGGCCCCAGGGCCUAGUCAAAGCUAACCAGCCCGGGUCAACGCGGGAUUAGCCCUGUGUCACUGACGUGUGGACCCCACACGUCAGGUUUGACCCGAGCCAGCCCUGUUGACCUGCUGAUGCCACUGUGACGUCAGGCUGACGCAGUAAUUGAAUUUCUGGAUUUAAAUUAAAUCAGGAAAUUCCAGAAUAUUAUUUAAACUUCAAAAAUUCAUAACUUUUAUUCUGUAACUCCAAAUUGGACAAAUUAUAUAUGAAAAAUGAUCAGAAAAAUCCAAUCUAUCCAUCUGUACUAUUUUCAUGCAUGAUCAAACAAGUUAAAUUGAUGUUUUAAUCAGAACAAGAAAAGGCACUUUAAAAGGGCAUAAAUGAAUUUGGAAUUUGAAUCUUUGAUUCAAAUUUGUUCAAACCCUUCUGGUUUUAGUUGCAUUAGCCCAACACACUCAUAUUGCCAUGUUCAUGCAUGCAUCAUAUUGUUGCAUAUUGUUUGGUGAUGCCUGUGUAUCGUUAUCCUUUGCGACAAGAUCUGUCCCCGAGGAGUACCGUGAUUACCCUAACAAAGAAUCGUAUCCGUGCAUCGAACCAUCAGGCAAGCAACCAACCAUUUGAUCAUAUCGAUACAAUCCCAUGUUCUCGCUCCUGCUCUCUUUUACUGCAUUAAGACAACGCGAUUCAAACUGCUGUGUGCUACGGUAGUUGAACCCAUUUCCUCUGCAUGACCUGUCAUUGCCACAGUAACUAGAUGAAACCCACUAGCAUGUGUAGGAGUUGAUUGAGCCAUAUGUAUGUGUUGUUCCUACCUUGCUAUGCAUGCUAUGCUUAGAGUUGUGUCAGGUCUGGUUCAUCUGGGUGAUGGGCUAGAGUGAAAUGAUUAUGUCGGUAAUGAGAGUGGUGUGGUGAACACGAUUUGGUAAAGGUAUCGAUGAGAGGCCAUGUAGGAGUACAUGGUGGGUUGUUUCAUUGAAGCCGACCUUAAGCACUGAGUUCUGUAUGUGUGAUUUAAGAUACAGCUACUACCAUGCAUUGGGCCCUGAAAUAUGACCCCGCUCGACUUCUUAUUCACCCUAGCUCUCUGUCCAGGAGUUGCAAGUAGUUUCUGGUGUUUGUAGCCUACUGGAGGCCGUGGACAGCGCUGACCGUAGGGGUGGGCUGUGAUGCGGUAGGUACGUGGCACGGUGUACCGAAUACCCGUUAGGUAUCUCGGGAACCCUGUUCACAUCGUUCGGGGCCGUAUGGGAAACCUCGGCCGGACUCCCUGCGGAUGGAACCUGAAUAGGCGAUANNNNNNNNNNNNNNNNNNNNNNNNNNNNNNNNNNNNNNNNNNNNNNNNNNNNNNNNNNNNNNNNNNNNNNNNNNNNNNNNNNNNNNNNNNNNNNNNNNNNAGUGACAAAUCCCAGUCUCGAUCCGCAUAAAACAAUAGAUACUUUCGGAGAUACCUGUAGUGCACCUUUAUAGUCACCCAGUUACGUUGUGACGUUUGAUACACCCAAAGCACUCCUAUGGUAUCCAGGAGUUACACGCUCUCAUGGUCGAAGGAAGAGAUACUUGACAUUGGCAAAGCUCUAGCAAAUGAACUACACGAUCUUUUGUGCUAGUCUUAGGAUUGGGUCUUGUCCAUCACAUCAUUCUCCUAAUGAUGUGAUCCCGUUAUCAACGACAUCCAAUGUCCAUAGCCAGGAAACCAUGACUAUCUGUUGAUCACAACGAGCUAGUCAACUAGAGGCUCACUAGGGACAUAUUGUGGUCUAUGUAUUCACACGUGUAUUACGAUUUCCGGAUAAUAUAGUUAUAGCAUGAAUAAAAGACAAUUAUCAUGAACAAGGAAAUAUAAUAAUAAUACUUUUAUUAUUGCCUCUAGGGCAUAUUUCCAACAAGAUGAUGGUAGCAAUUACACGGACUAGGUCCAUAACUUGAGGAUUAUCCUCAUUGUUGCACAAAAGCAUUAUGUCCUUGAAGCGCCGCUAGGUGAAAGGCCUGCUGCCGGAGCAGAUGGUGAUGUUAUGAACGUCUGGCAAGCUCGAUCUGAUGACUACUCGAUAGUUCAGUGUGCCAUGCUUUACGUCUUAGAAUCGGGACUUCAAAGAUGUUUUGAACGUCAUGGAGCAUAUGAGAUGUUCCAAGAGUUGAAGUUAAUAUUUCAAGAAAAUGCCCGAGUUGAGAGAUAUGAAGUCGCCAACAAGUUCUAUAGCUACAAGAUGGAGGAGAAUAGUUCUGUCAGUGAACACAUACUCAGAAUGUCUGGGUACUGUUGGGGAACACGGUAAUUUCAAAAAAAAUCCUAGAAUCACGUAAGAUCUAUCUAGGUUAUGCAUAGCAACGAGAGGGGAGAGUGUGUCCACAUACCCUCGUAGACCGAAAGCGGAAGUGUUUCAAUAACGCGGUUGAUGUAGUCGAACUUCUUCACGAUCCAACCGAUCAAGUACCAAACGCACGGCACCUCCGCGUUCAUCACGCGUUCAGCUCGAUGAUGUCCCUCAUGCUCUUGAUGUAGUUGCAGAUGAGGGUGAGUUCCGUCAGCACGAUGGCGUGGCGACUGUGAUGAUGAUGCUAUCGGUGCAGGGCUUCUCCUAAGCACUACGGUGGUAUGAUCGAGGUGUGUAACUGUGGAGGGGGGCACCGCACAAGGUUAGGAGAAGAACCUGAUCAACUUUUGUGUCUAUGGGUUGCCCCCUGGCCAUGUAUAUAAAGGAGGAAGGGAGAGAGGAGGCCAGCCAGGUUGGGCGUGCCAAGGGGGGAGUCCUACUUGGACUCCUAGUCCAAGUAGGAUUCGGCCCCCCCUUUCCUUUCUUCCAUCGAAGGGAAAGGGAAGGGAGAGAGAGGGAUAAGGAAAGAGGGGGCCGGCCCCCUCCCCUAGUCCAAUUCGGUUUGGGCAAGGGAAGGGUGCGCCCCUCCCUUGUGGAAUCUCUCCUCUCCUCCAAUAAGGCCCAAUAGGCCCAAUACUUCUCCCGAGGGGUUCCGGUAACCUCCAGGUCCUCCGGAAAAAUGCCCGAACCACUCGGAACCAUUCCGAUGUCCAACGCAAGCUUCUAGUAUAUGAAUCUUUAUGUCUUAACCAUUUCGAGACUCCUUGUGAUGUCCGUGAUCUCAUCUGGGACUCCGAAGAAACUUCGGUCAUCAAAUCACAUAACUCAUAAUACAAAUCAUCAUCGAACAUUAAGCGUGCAGACCCUACGAGUUCGAGAACUAUGUAGACAUGGCCCAGACACAUCUCCGGUCAGUAACCAAUAGCGGAACCUUGAUCGGUUAAACCGCAUAACAACAUACGUUGUUCCCUUUGUCAUUGGUAUGUUACUUGCCGGAGAUUUGAUCAUCGGUAUCAUCAUACCUAGUUCAAUCUCGUUACCGACAAGUCUCUUUACUCGUUUUGUAAUACUUCAUCCUGCAACUAACUCAUUAGUCACAAUGCUUUCAAGGCUUAUAGUGAUGAGCAAUACCGAGAGGGCCCAGAGAUACCUCUCCGAAACACGGAGUGAUAACUCCUAUAUCUCGAUCUAUGCCAACCCAACAAACACCUUCGGAGACACCUAUAGAGCACCUUUAUAAUCACCCAUUUAAGGUGUGACGUUUGGUAGCACACAAAGUGUUCCUCCGGUAUUCGGGAGUUGCAUAAUCUCAUAGUCUGAGGAACAUGUAUAAGUCAUGAAGAAAGCAAUAGCAAUGAAACUGUAAUGAUCAUAAUGCUAAGCUAACGGAUGGGUCAUGUCCAUCACAUCAUUCUCCUAAUGAUGUGAUCCCAUUCAUCAAACGACAACACAUGUCUAUGGUUAGGAAACAUAACCAUCUUUGAUAAACGAGCUAGUCAAGUAGAGGCAUACUAGGGACACUUAUGUUUUGUCUAUGUAUUCACACAUGUACUAAGUUUCCGGUUAAUACAAUUCUAGCAUGAAUAAUAAACAUUUAUCAUGAUAUAAGGAAAUAAUUAAUAACUUUAUUAUUGCCUCUAGGACAUAUUUCCUUCAGGUACCAUAACCACUUGGCUCAGCUAGGAGUUAAUAUUCCUGAUGAUAGUGUCAUUGACAGAGUUCUUCAAUCACUGCCACCAAAAGGCUUCGUGAUGAACUAUAAUAUGCACGGGAUGGAAAAGACUAUUCCCAAGCUCUUCACAAUGCUAAAAGCUGUGGAGGUAGAAAUCAAGAAGGAGCAUCAAGUGUCGAUGGUUAACAAGACAACUAGUUUCAAGAAAAAAGGCAAAGUGAAGAAAGGAAACUUCGAGAAGAAUAGCAAGCAAGUUGUUACUCCAAGGAAGAAACCCAAGUCUGGACCGAAGCCUGAAACUGAGUGCUUCUAAUGCAAAGGGACUGGUCACUGGAAGCAGAAUUUCCCCAAAUAUUUGGCGGAUUAGAAGGAUGGCAAAGUGAAAGGUAUAUUUGAUAUACAUGUUAUUGAUGUGUACCUUACUAAUGCUCGUAGUAGCGCCUGGGUAUUUGAUACUGGUUCUGUUGCUCAUAUUUGCAACUCGAAACAGGGGCUACGGAUUAAACGAAGAUUGGCUAAGGACGAAGUGACAACGCGCGUCGAAAAUGGUUCCAAGGUUGAUGUGAUCGCCAUCAGCAUGCUACCUCUACAUCUACCUUCAGGAUUAGUUUUAGACCUGAAUAAUUGUUAUUUGAUGCCAACGUUGAGCAUGAACAUUAUAUCUGGAUCUUGUUUGAUGCGAGACAAUUAUUCAUUUAAAUCAGAGAAUAAUGGUUGUUCUAUUUAUAUGAGUAAUAUCUUUUAUGGUCAUGCACCCUGGUUAAGUGGACUAGUCUUGUUGGAUCUCAAUCGUAGUGAUAUACAUUCAUAAUAUUGAAUCCAAAAUAUGCAAAUUUAAUAAUGAUAGUGCAACUUAUUUGUGGCACUGCCGUUUAGGUCAUAUUGGUGUAAAGCGCAUGAAGAAGCUCCAUGCUGAAGGGCUUUUGGAAUCACUUGAUUAUGAAUCACUUGGUGCUUGUGAACCAUACCUCGUGGGAAAGAUGACUAAAACUCCGUUCUCCGGAACAAUGGAGCGAGCCACUGACUUAUUGGAAAUAAUACAUACCAAUGUAUGCGGUGCAAUGCGUGUUGAGGCUCGCAACGGGUAUCGUUUUUUUUGACCUUCACAGAUGAUUUGAGCAGAUAUGGGUAUAUCUACUUAAUGAAACAUAAGUCUUAAACAUUUGAAAAGGUCAAAGAAUUUCAGAGUGAAGUGGAAAAUCAUCGUAACAAGAAAAUAAACUUUCUACGAUCUAAUCGGGGAGAGUUUGGUCUUCAUUUGAAACAAUAUGGAAUAGUUUCGCAACUCACGCCACCUGGAACACCACAACUAAUGGUGUGUUCAAACGUCAUAACCGUACUUUAUUGGAUAUGGUGCAAUCAAUGACGUCUCUUCUGAUUUACCACUAUUUUUUGGGGUUAUGCUUUAGAGAUUGCUGCAUUCACGUUAAAUAGGGCACCAUCAAAAUCCAUUAAGACGACACCAUACAAACUAUGGUUUGGCAAGAAACCCAAGCUGCCGUUUCUUAAAGUUUGGGGUUGCAAUGCUUAUGUGAAAAAGCUUCAACUUGAAAAGCUCGAACCCAAAUCAGAGAAAUGAGUCUUAAUAGGAUACCCAAAGCAAACUGUUGGGUACACCUUCCAUCACAGAUCCGAAGGCAAGAUAUUUGUUGCUAAGAAUGGAUCCUUUCUAGAGAAGGAGUUUCUCUCGAAAGAAGUGAGUGGGAGGAAAGUAGAACUUGAUGAGGUAAUUGUACCUUCUCGCAAAUUGGAAAAUAGUUCAUUGCAGAAAUCAGUUCUAGUGAUUCGUACACCAAUUAGCAAGGAAGCUAAUGAUGAUGAUCAUGAAACUUCAGAUCAAGUUACUACCUAACCUCAUAGGUCAACCAGAGUACGAUCUGCACCAGAGUGGUACGGUAAUGCUAUUCUGGAAGUCAUGUUACUAGACCAUGAUGAACCUAUGAACUAUGAGGAAGCAAGGAUGAGCCCAGAUUCCGCGAAAUGGCUUGAGGCCAUGAAAUCUGAGAUGGGAUCCAUGUAUGAGAACAAAGUGUGGACUUUGGUGGACUUGCCCGAUGAUUGGCAAGCCAUAGAAAAUAAAUGGAUCUUCAAGAAGAAGACUGACNNNNNNNNNNNNNNNNNNNNNNNNNNNNNNNNNNNNNNNNNNNNNNNNNNNNNNNNNNNNNNNNNNNNNNNNNNNNNNNNNNNNNNNNNNNNNNNNNNNNAUACUUUAACAUUUUCAAACCUUUUUCAAUCUUCACGCAAUACAUGAGCGUGAGCCAUGGAUAUAGCACUAUAUGUGGAAUAGAACGGUGGUUGUGGAGAAGACAAAAAGAGGGAAGAUAGUCUCACAUCAACUAGGCGUAUCAACGGGCUAUGGAGAUGCCCAUCAAUAGAUAUCAAUGUGAGUGAGUAGGGAUUGCCAUGCAACGGAUACACUAGAGCUAUAAGUAUAUAAAAGCUCAACAAAAUAAACUAAGUGGGUGUGCAACCAUCUCGCUUGCUCAAGAAGACCUAGGGCAUUUUGAGGAAGCCCAUGAUUGGAAUAUACAAGCCAAGUUCUAUAAUGAAAAAUUCCCACUAGUAUAUGAAAGUGACGAAAUGAGAGACUCUCUAUCAUGAAGAUCAUUGUGCUACUUUGAAGCACAAGUGUGGUAAAAGGAUAGUAGCAUUGUCCCUUCUCUCUUUUUCUCUCAUUAUUAUUAUUUUUUAUUUUUAUUUGGGCCUUUCUAUUUUUUUAUGGCCUCUUUUUUUUCGUCCGGAGUCUCAUACCAACUUGUGGGGGAAUCAUAGAAUCCAUCAUCCUUUCCUCACUUGGGACAAUGCUCUAAUAAUGAUGAUCAUCACACUUUUAUUUAU
rnacentral:lncRNA from 1 species